ensembl:lincRNA
GAGAGAGAAGGAGAAGGAGCCAAGAUGGAGUCCAUAGAGUCUGUUAGUCGUGAUGGACAGGAUGUGAGGGAUAUCACAUCAGGAGAUAGAUACCUUAUGAUUUCUGAAGAAUAGAUUCAGGAACCUGGCCAUGGUUACAGAGAAACAGGAAAGCUGGACAAAGGAAAGAACUUCUGUUAAUACCACAUGCUAACAGCACACUGACUUCUGCAAAUGGUGUUUGCAGAGACUGUAAAUCUACAGUGAAGUUUGUUUUUUUUUUUUUUUUUUUAAUUCAACAAACAAAGUCUUGCAAAAGAACAACUGACACGCCAUGAGCUGGGGUACUGCUUGGUGGAAAUAUUCCACUGACUGUGGCAAAGUGCACAUUGCUCUUGUAAAAUCAUGGCCAAAAGUAAUACAUCGAGAGAUAUACCCAAUCAAGUUGAACAUUGACGAAUAAGAGAAACUUAGAGAAAUGUCUAUGCCCAUGAUUCCUCAUGAGAUUGUUAAGUGUACAGCUGGUUCUCUGGGGGGCAAUGGAAUGGAGGGAACUUGUGUCGACCUGAGAAAGAGGAGCCUCCCACAGUGAAAACGGAAGUCCAAGGAACAGGGGAGAAGACCAAAACUGUUAUUCACAAAUCAAAUUAAGUUAUAAACAGGUGGCCUGGCAUAUACCAGUUGUCAUCUUGGUCUAGGAAAGCACUUCCUACCGUCCAGUAAAACUGUCACACAUCACAAGUGACAAGAAAAGGGAAGAGGAGAAACUUCUUUUGAAAUUGUAUGAAAGACUGCACUAGAGUGAAAGCUUUGGAUAUGAAGGCAGCACUCUAUCACACAGCAGAGUAACACCCAGGGGUGUAAAAAUUGGUUACUGUUGAUUUCCCUGAGGAAUUCUCUUGAUAGACAGUCACUCUGCUCAGUUUAUGGCCCUGGAACUGCAGGACACUUUGAAUAUAAACAUGGUAUUUUUUUCCUGAAAGUACUUGGACAUGUUCCCUGUGUGUUUCUAACAAUACUCUAGCCGUUCACAUGAAUCUAACCAGCGUGGAUUUAUCUAAAUCUUUCUUUAUCCUAUUUAUAUUUGUAGACUACGCAACAUCUUGAGGAUAAUGAGUUCCAUAUGUUUACUACCCACUGUAUGAAGUAAUGCCAUCUUUUAUUUAUCGUCAAACUACUUUCAUAGAAUUUCAAUGGGCACUCUGAGUUUUAGCACUUCAGGAUCUGAGUGUGGUCACAUUUCACAGUAAUAGCCCACCCACACAGGCUUUUAUGUAGGUAAGAAAUGGUACCCUCUCUGUCUAGGUUCUUGUUCUGGUUUCAUUUCUGUUGCUUUGACAAAACACUCUACCAAAAGCAGUUUUAGGGGAGAAGGGUUCUUUUGGCUUAUAAUUCUAGGGUGCCAGAUAUCCUGUGGGGAGGUAGUAGCUACAGAGGCUUGCGGAACUCAGUAGCACCACAUCCACAGUCAAGAGAGAAGAAGAACAAGUGGACCCGGGCUGCCUGCCUGCUCUCAACUAGCUUUAUGUACUCUCAUAUAGUUCAGGACCUAGACUAGGCAAUGGUGUGACCCAUAGUAGACUGGGUCUUCCUGCAUCAAUUAGCUUCAAGACUAUCCACCCCCCACCCCAUACACACACACACAGGCUUAUAGGCGAACUUGAUCUAAGCAGUUCUUCACAGAGAUUCCUUCCUUUGAGGUGAAUUCUAGAUUGUGCCAAGUUGACAAUCAAAGCCAAAGAACACAACACUCUAUUUAGGAAAACAUUUUUCCUCUUUCAGACAGAUGCAGCUCUGUGUCAGAUGCAUAGCUCUGCUAGGGAAGUGCUAAGAUGUCUAUCCCUCUUGGCAUUCUAACCCCCCUCUUUUGUGCCCUUGGCUGGGUACUUGUCCAGGACUCAACUAGGACAGGGAUGGACAGUACUCUGGGCCUAACAACAGAGAUCAUUAAAAGAUUGUUGAUAUUAACAAAAUGCUUUCUGAAAGUUCAUCUCCUAAGAAAAGAGGUCUUCCUUUUGGUCAUUCCCUAAUGUACAGCCCUAGUUCCCAUAUCUGUAGGCUUCAGGCUCUGACUGAAGAGUCCAGGUACUCUACAGUCUCCUCAGAUGCCCCAGAUGCAGUGACAACUGUGGUGAUAUUAUAAUCACACGUUGGGUUAAUUUGCUUUUGAUCACUGUUAGCUUACAUGUGCACAUUUUGGAGAUUUCUCCAUACAUUUCACAGCUUGAUGCAACCUUUUUUUUUUUUCAUUUUACCCUCAUCAAUUCAAAAUUAAACCAACUGGAUCUCCCAACUUCCAGAUUUAAUUUUGUAUUUUCUUUAGAAUUGCACUCAAACCCAAAACAACAACAACAACAAAAAACUUCAACAAUAUGUGGGUAAUACAACACUUUAGAAAACGGUUAUUUUAUAUGUCUGGGUGUUUUGCUACUUGGAUGCCUGGUAUUGGAAGUUCAGAGGUGGGCAUUGCAACUCCCAAGAUUAUUGUUGUACACAGUUGUGACCCACCAAGUGGUUGCCGGGAAUCAAACUCAGGUCCUGUGGAAAAGCAUCCAAUGCUCUAAACCUCAGAACUCUCUCUCUCUGGCAUAAUAAUAAUAAUAAUAAUAAUAAUAAUAAUAAUAAUAAUAAUAAUUUUAAGCUGGUUGUGGUAGUACAAAGCACUCAGGAAGCAGAGGUCGAUGGAUUACUUUGAGUUCAAGGCUAGCCUGAUCUACAUAGCAAGUUCUAGGACAACUAGAGCUACAUAAUAAAGAGAAUCUCUCUUAAUACAAUAAAAAUACUUUUUAAAUGCUUAAAUAUUUUAGAUUCACAUAACACUUUUAAAACAGUGACUUGCAAGAUGGGUCAGUAGGUAAAGUACCUGCUGCUGAGCUUGACUGACACCCAGGACUUUGACCUCUGUGCUCUUGCUGUAGGAUACACGUUUAUGUACCUAAAUAAAUAAAUGAUAUAAAUAAAUAUAAAU